rnacentral:tRNA from 1 species
GUGAUCGUGGUGAAACGGUUAUCAUAGAAGCCUGUGGAGCUUCGGUUGGGGGUUCGAUUCCCCCCGAUCGCCCCA